UAAGAAUAUUCCGCAAUGGACGAAAGUCUGACGGAGCGACGCCGCGUGGCUGAAGAAGGCCGCAAGGUUGUAAAAUCCUUUUGCUGGGGAAGAAUAAGUCCAGGAGGGAGUGCCUGGAUGAUGACAUGAACCGGCGAAUAAGCCCCGGCCAACUACGUGCCAGCAGCCGCGGUAACACGUAGGGGGCAAGCGUUGUUCGGAAUUACUGGGCGUAAAGGGCAUGUAGGCGGUUUAGUAAGCUUGGCGUGAAAGACCACAGCUCAACUGUGGGGUUGCGUUGAGAACUGCUGAACUUGAGUUACAGAGAGGGAGCUAGAAUUCCUGGUGUAGGGGUGGAGUCUGUAUAGAUCAGGAAGAAUACCGAUGGCGAAGGCAAGCUUCUGGACGAUAACUGACGCUGAGGUGCGAAAGUGUGGGGAUCAAACA
rnacentral:rRNA from 1 species